UUUAGUAUAAAGUCAGUCAGACCCAGGGUUGCCAGAUUGGGGGUUUUUUUCGCAAUUCUGGGGAAAAUUUUGACUCUAGGCGAAAAUUUGGGGAAACAGUAUCUUUGGGAAAAUGUUUGGGGAAAAUAAAUACACUAUGGGGAUUUUUUGGGG